CCUGUGGGACUCAUGAGAAAAGUGCCUUUUUGGUGUCAAAACAUACUGUUGCUAGAAAUAAACUACGGAGAUACUCCUAUUGGAACAAAGUAUAAUGCAUAUAUCAACGGCUAAAGGCACGUUCAGUUUCAAAUUCCAGUUUAUUUUAUUUAGGAGGCCAUUUCUGAACUCAUUUCCCAGCUGUAGCUUACUGUAGCCCACAUAUAAAAUGCAGUCAGGUGAUGCUCUGAAGAAACACAGUUAGACAUCAGAAAAGCAUAGCAUAGCAAGAUGAAAUUAUCUAGCUGCUAUUCUCAGAAAAGCUGUUUAUAACAUAAACAGCUUUUCAGCAUCUACAGCAGCUGCUAUAGAUGGACUCAUUGCAGAUAAUUUUCCUGUUCCAGAAACUUUAUUUUUUCUAUAUGCAGGCUUUGUGGCCAUAGCACAAUGUCAAGAGAUUCAAGCACUGUAAAUCUUUACCUUUCCCACUCUUCUUCAAAGUGCAUAAUCAAUGAUAUGUUGGCCCAGUUUCCACAAUCAUGUCAGGAUUCACUCACACUAAAGCAGUCUGUCAUUUCCAUAAGACAGGAACAACAAAAAGAUGCUUGCUAUUACAGCUUUGAGGGUAUACAUUAUUUAUUUUGAUAUAUUUAAAUUAUUAAUUAGGAUAAUUCCAUUCUUGCAACAGAGUCUCUGCCCUUUAGAGGAAAUGGGCCACAUUCAGUAGGACUUCAGGAGAAUACCGCAUGCACUCAAAUAUGCACAGUGCCACUCAGUUCCUUUCCAUGGGACACUUCAGCAUCAUCUUUGCAUCGCUUCACAGCAAUAAUGACAUAACAAGUAACACAUACACUAGGUCAGGAGAAAAAAAAAUAUCUGAAAACAGAGAUCUACUAGCCAAGAUAAGGAGAUACACUGUCAGCUAUGGUGUGUGAUCAUCUUACUGCAGAAAAGCAACACCUACAACUUAUAUUUUUAGUAUUUCCCUGUAUUAAGUGUGUCUGUGGUUUAACUAUGCAGGAAUCAAUAACACAACUGGAAACACAGUCCAGAAGAAAGUACCUUGAGAUGGACUACAGCAUUGCAGACCUCAGCAGUUCAGGUUGUGUUUGAUGGGAAACUAUCAAUUCAUUGACAGCUAAUUGCUCUAGCUGAUGACUUAAUGCCGAAGAUUGGGGCUUCCCAGCUACUUUAUCAGCAAAUGCUUCUGGCUUAUAAAGCUCCCUUUUAUGAUGUAACCCACAGGCUCCCAAACUCUUAUCGCCCAGUUGCCGCCGCUCCUCACAGGGAAACUGAGUCACAUACUACCUUUCGUUCUUCUAACUGCGAGAUGCGACUGAAAAGAAGAGAAGCCGCUGGCACAGGCAGCAAUCUGCUACAGAUCGCCGUGCCGAGGUCACGAUCGCGGUCUGUGCCGCGCCGAGGGCACCGCGCUCCUCCCGGGCACGCCUGGCAGCUGCUGCCCUCCGCAGAGCGCCUCCCGGGGCCUCCCUCCCGGAGGGUCCCCUUCUCCGGGAGAGGUCCCCUCCCGAACAACGACCCCUGCCUCCCCGAUCCCUCCCGCGGCACCAUUUCCACCGAGCCCCGGCAUCCGCAGCGGGGUCUGAGCCCGCGCCCCCACAACAGGGACUGCCCUGCCCGAAAGCGCCGGGGAUGGUGCAGAGGCGACCCGGGCUGGGGAGAGGGGCUCGCUCAGGCCCCUCUGAGCCCCUGCGGCAGAGUCCUACCUUCCCAGAGGCGGAGACCGCGGCAGCCGGGGCCGCUGACCGGGUUCCCGGGCAAGGAGACUCCCCUCGCCCCUAAACAUGAUGAGCGGCUUUCCCCUCCCCUCCCCUCCCGUGCCGGCUCGCCCUCCCCCGCGCCCCGCUGCCCCGCGCCGCCCGCCCGCGGCGGAGGGAGGGACGGAGGGAGGAAGGGAGCCCCCGAUGCGGCCCUGCUCCGCCUCUACCCUGCUUUCCGGGAGUGCCGCAGCCGGGGCCGGGAGCAGGGCCGGGCGGCGGAGGCGGCCCUCGCCGCGCCGCGACCAUGGAGCCCGACCAGCUGCGCCUUUCCGCGGCCGCACAUGGCCAUGGAGGCUAUGAUUCUGAUUUUAGUGAUGAGGAGAGUGGAGAGAAGUCUCUGCAAAAGACUAAAAGAAUACAAGAAGAUGCCCUUCUGAUAAAGCCAUUCCAAAAAGCAAAACAAGGCAGUGUGGUUCACAGACAGUUUGCAGCUGAAGAAUGUGAUAGGGAAGAAGCAAGAAAAAGAAGAUUUCACUUGAUAUCAAUGGAUGCUUAUGAAAGACAUAAGAAGUUUGUGCAUGACUACAUUUUAUACUAUGGUGGCAAAAUAGAGGAUUUCCGAAGAUCUGG